rnacentral:lncRNA from 1 species
AACAGUUGUUUAUUUAGAGUUAUUUAUUAUUGUUUUCUCAUAUUUUGCAAUUGUUAAGUUGGUUUACUUCGAAUUUAAUAUGCAUUACUGUGGUAUUUCUCCAGUUUUCUAAGAAGGUUGGUGAUUUUGAAUUGGGAUUAUGAUGAAUUUAACCCAAAGGUAAUGUGUGUUUAUUUAUGUGGCAAAAUUCCAGGCACCAUAAAAAUUUGAGUUUCUUCCUGUUGCCCAUGGCACAGCCCCAUGGAUGAAAAUCGGUUUGCAGAAUGAAAAGAAAUUGUUCAAUGUGAUAAACUUUCUAUGAACAGUCCUCAAUAUUGUUACAUUAACUUUUAAAUAUGCACUUUACAUCUUGAGGAGCAGGCCUUUGCAGAAAUACUGAAAAGCGGGUUGCAAAACAACGCAAAAUAAAAUAAACGAAAUAUGUCUUGAGAUUAAACAUUCAAGUUGAAGGUGUGUUCUUUCUUAAACUGGAAUGAUAAUUUUGUAAUUCUGUAGGCACAUCUAUUGAGAAGUUACAACCAGUGGCAAAGUGCCUUAAGGGAAUCUAUGACAUAUAUAAUUGAAGGGACACCUCCUCUGAAGGAAUUACAAUUAUUUGCCAGUAUGUCAAAUGAAUUUUCAACAUCAGUCAUACUUUCAUGAACUUAUUGAUGAAAAUAAAACUAGGUACAUGAUUUAUUAUUUACUUCCAAGGGAUUCUAAGAUACUAUGUGUAAAAAGUCCAAUAUGCAGUGAUGAGCAUGCUAAUAACUGGCAAAAUAUGGGAUAUAACGCCAAAGAUGGGAAACAUGGAAUGCAUUCUGAAGUAAAAAGAGAUGAAACUGAGAGAAAUUAUCGAUAUAAACAUAUAAAUUAACAUUACAUUACAUAGUUUCCCACCUUUAGAUGUAUCAGAUGAGUAUGAGAACUGUCACUGUGCCAGGAGAAUUUUAUAAAAUACUCCUGUCACAGAGAUCUAAAGGUGGGAAACUAUGUAAUGUUAUCGUCGGCUAAGAGUGUUAACCUGCCAACUCCAUUUUUCACUGUGAGUGAUAUUGGGGUAGUUUCUAGGUCUGUGUACCUUCAUACCAUGUCCCACAAGCCCGCUGGUUCCACUGUAGUUUAGAGAUAGCUAUUUCUAAACUACAUUGGUGUCGGCGGGUUUGUGGGGUGGUGUAUGAAAAUACACGGACCCAGAAACUAGCCCAAUAUCACUCAAAGUGAAAAAUGGAGUUAGCAGGUUAAAACUCUUAUCCAAGGUUAUGUUAAUUUAUUCGUUUAUAACGAUAAGUUCCACUUCUACCAGUUUCAUCUCUUUUUAUCUCACAAGUUAAUAUGUUUUCCAUCUUUUGCGUUAUUUUGCCGGUUAUUAGUGUGAGUGCUCAUUACUGUAUAUUUACGAUUCUGUGAUUUCUCAAUAUGAUGCUGAGUAGAUAUAGAUCUGAGUAGGUAUAUAGUAGGUAUCUACAACCCUUUCAAAACAGAAAUUUAUAAGUUCAUUUUAUGUACCUAUUAAACUUUAUUUUAAGGAUGAAUUUGAAAUGCUUGUAGGGAAUAUAUCUGUAAAAAAUAAAAUUGGUAUUGUAAAAUUGAAAUUCUCAAAAUAUAAUUUAUAAUUCGAA